UACGAGAGGCCCAAACGUUAUUCGGAAUUACUGGGCUUAAAGAGUUCGUAGGCGGCGCAGAAAGUAGGGUGUGAAAGCCCUCGGCUUAACCGAGGAAUUGCGCUCUAAACUACUGUGCUUGAGGAAGCUAGAGGUGAGCGGAACUGAUGGUGGAGCGGUGAAAUGCGUUGAUAUCAUCAGGAACACCGGAGGCGAAGGCGGCUCUCUGGGACGGUACUGACGCUGAGACGCGAAAGCGUGGGGAAGCGAACAGG
rnacentral:rRNA from 1 species